rnacentral:rRNA from 1 species
GACGAACGCUGGCGGCGUGCCUAAUACAUGCAAGUCGAGCGAAUUUACGAGAGCUUGCUCUCGUAAAUUAGCGGCGGACGGGUGAGUAACACGUGGGCAACCUGCCUAUAAGACUGGGAUAACUUCGGGAAACCGGAGCUAAUACGGGAUAAUUCACAUCUACUCAUGUAGAUGUGCUGAAAGACGGUUUCGGCUGUCACUUAUAGAUGGGCCCGCGGCGCAUUAGCUAGUUGGUGAGGUAACGGCUCACCAAGGCCACGAUGCGUAGCCGACCUGAGAGGGUGAUCGGCCACACUGGGACUGAGACACGGCCCAGACUCCUACGGGAGGCAGCAGUAGGGAAUCUUCCGCAAUGGACGAAAGUCUGACGGAGCAACGCCGCGUGAGUGAUGAAGGUUUUCGGAUCGUAAAACUCUGUUGUUAGGGAAGAACAAGUACCAGAGUAGCUGCUGGUACCUUGACGGUACCUAACCAGAAAGCCACGGCUAACUACGUGCCAGCCGCCGCGGUAA